rnacentral:pre_miRNA from 1 species
AAGGGGAGUGCUGGAUCCUGGGCUGUGUCCCCUCGCGCCUUGUGCUCCCGGGCCUGCGCGGCUGGAAUCGCUCUCCCGAGGCCACGCAGCCCCCU